CCUACGGGGGGCAGCAGUAAGGAAUAUUGGUCAAUGGACGGAAGUCUGAACCAGCCAUCCCGCGUGCAGGAUGACUGCCCUAUGGGUUGUAAACUGCUUUUAGCAGAGACGAAACGCCUUCAUUUAUGAGGGUCUGACGGUAUCUGCAGAAUAAGCACCGGCUAACUCCGUGCCAGCAGCCGCGGUAAUACGGAGGGUGCAAGCGUUAUCCGGAAUCACUGGGUUUAAAGGGUGCGUAGGCGGAUAUUUAAGUCAGUGGUGAAAUCUUGUCGCUUAACGAUAAAAUUGCCAUUGAUACUGAAUGUCUUGAAUUGGGUUGAGGUUAGCGGAAUGUGACAUGUAGCGGUGAAAUGCAUAGAUAUGUCAUGGAACACCAAUUGCGAAGGCAGCUAGCUGGGCCUUGAUUGACGCUGAGGCACGAAAGCGUGGGUAGCGAACAGGAUUAGAUACCCUGGUAGUC
rnacentral:rRNA from 1 species